rnacentral:rRNA from 1 species
AUUGAACGCUGGCGGCAUGCCUUACACAUGCAAGUCGAACGGCAGCACGGGAGCAAUCCUGGUGGCGAGUGGCGAACGGGUGAGUAAUAUAUCGGAACGUGCCCAGUCGUGGGGGAUAACGUAGCGAAAGCUACGCUAAUACCGCAUACGAUCUAUGGAUGAAAGCGGGGGAUCGCAAGACCUCGCGCGAUUGGAGCGGCCGAUAUCAGAUUAGGUAGUUGGUGGGGUAAAGGCUCACCAAGCCGACGAUCUGUAGCUGGUCUGAGAGGACGACCAGCCACACUGGGACGGAGACACGGCCCAGACUCCUACGGGAGGCAGCAGUGGGGAAUUUUGGACAAUGGGCGCAAGCCUGAUCCAGCAAUGCCGCGUGCAGGAUGAAGGCCUUCGGGUUGUAAACUGCUUUUGUCAGGGAAGAAACGGUCUACUCUAAUACAGUGGGCUAAUGACGGUACCUGAAGAAUAAGCACCGGCUAACUACGUGCCAGCCGCCGCCGUAACAC